rnacentral:lncRNA from 1 species
UGUGGGAGUUUGCGGUAGUGAUCAGAUGGCUCAGAGGGUCCUGGAGUUCUGAUAGGAGAUGGAUUCGCGUUGGACUCGUUUGGGAACUCCUGUGCAUAGUUUGAGACGAUCUGAGGUUUUUAAGAAGAGCUGUAGUAAACAGAGGGCCGUAGUGUAGCGUAGUGUGUUCGGUAGAGGACCCAGAGCAGCAACAAAUCGAGAGGAGCCGACAGAGAGCAAAGGCAGGAGUGCUUCAGGCAGACUGUCAGGCAGCAGAUAGCGAUCGCUUCAGAGAUUCAGCGGAUCUCCUAGAGAGAGCUUUUGUGAGGGAGAACUUCUUGUGAGAGAGAGAUUAGAUG